UAUAUUCUAAAUUCCUGCUAAUGCCCAUUCAGCAUAUGGAUCUUUUUAUGAUCCGACCCGGCAGUUAACCUCCUACAACAGCAUUUCUCUUUCUAUUUGUUAAUAUACAAUCGGGUCUUAACGGUUGUAAACAACUUCCUCCUAUCACUCCCUGCAAUUUAGCCUCCAUGAUUUGAAUAACCUUAUCUUAAACUGAAAUUAGUAAAAGAGGGUGGCGCUAGGCGGAGAUAUUGAGGAAUCAAAAAUUAAGAGGGCUGGAGUCAUCGCCCAAGGGUUUCAAAUUGGGGAUUUAUUUCAAAUUGGGGUAUAUUUUCAAACAGGUCGAUGGAAAUCCAAAAUCAGUUUUCAGAAAUUCUCGGAUUCUAUCUGCGAAUGAACGGAUCAGGUUCGUAACGCUAUUAAGUUGGAUGCUGGUUUCCUUGAUGUUAGUGAUACAAAUCUUCAGUUAUAUCCGGUUGCAAGGAGUAAUUCUGGGCUCUGGAUCCUUUUCUACAUUCUUCAUCAUAAAAUGGUUAGUUUUUUGAUUGAAUAAAAUGGUUAGUUAUUCCAUGUAAGUUAUAUUUUUGACUAACUUAAUUCUAUUAUUAAUAUUACUUGCUUUUUCAUAUAGUUUUUCGGCCCAAAAGUAUUCUUUAGGCGAGUCAUGUGUAGUUUCCUCAGGUCCAAUUACUUCUUAUCAAAGUUCUGUUACACCAUUCGAAUCAAUGCUAAGUGGCGUAGAACUCACAGGUCAAUAAUGUUUGAUUGCAAGUUAUUUAUUUACAAUUUUACUGUUUUUUACUUUUUUCUCUAGGUUCUGCCAACUAAGCAGUUUAAUUCUAUCAUGUAUUUUUAUCAAACAUACAAAUUUAGUUUCUUGAUUUUUAUAAAUUAUUUCAUUAUUUUGCUAAUCUAAAUUUCAGGUAUAUUAUAUAUUACUGGUAUAUUUAUUGUAAUACACUUUGUUUUUGUUGACAUGUGUCAGCUAAAUUAACCUUCCGAUCCUACUGGCAUUAGUUUUAAAAUUCCCACCACUAGACAUGGAACACCUAAAAACAGCCUCCCACUCCACCCAAGGUUCAGGUACAAUCACUAUUUAAUUGUACCUAUUUAUAAACCACAUCCUUAUGCUAGGAUUCAACCAAACUAUAAACAAAUAGGCAUGUCGCAGGUUCGAUAUAAUAUUUUAUUUUAAUCUUAAUAUGUUGUCUCUUAUGAUUGUUUGCUGUGUGAAAGGUUUCUACAUUAUCUUAAGAAGUUUAACUGUGCAAGAGAUCAUAGGCUUUUUAUUUUUUGAUUGCAUUUUGACUUCCUUCAUUGUUAGGAUGCAGAUAUUUGUUUUCUUGAUAGUGUAGUGGUUUAAUUAAGGUGGCAUCACAUGAGUCUUAAACUAUGAUAGUUUAGAGUCAUGAAUGCAAGUUCUGAUCAACACUGUUUAUUUAUUUUGGAUUAUAUAUAAACAGUGGGCAAGAACUUUACAUCUCAAGUAAGUUAUAACAUAUUAGUUUGUAACUUCUCCAAUAUCAUAUCUGCUCCUUCCAUUAACAUAACUGCUGGCGGAAAUCAUGGCAAGUAUACAUUUUUCUUUUUUCUUCUGAAGGAAAUGCUAGCAAUUCAAAAUUUGAGAUCGAUUUAACAACUAUAAUUUCUCAUAUUUUCCAUUACCAGGUUUGCACGUCCUUCAUUCAAUAAUUUUGAAUUUUUUGCUCUGUUAUGUAUGUUAUAUGAAACUGGUUCAUGUUUAUAUAUUGUGUUCUUAAUAAUUUAAUCGUGCUAUCAUUGUUAUUUGCCUAUUUAUACUCAAUUUUGUUUCAUUUCGGUGUUUGUUGAAUCAAACUGUUGCCUUCUAGUAUUUUUUUUCAUAAAGCAUGGGCUUCACAAAGCAUUCACCAGCCUAAUUGGUUUGUAAAGUAUAGUUGUAUUUUUUUGCUCAUGUUAUCGGUUAUUUUUUUUGGAUUGAAUAGCAGUUGUACUGAUUUUUCAGACUUGAGGGAGGUAGUCUCAAAAUGAACUUUUGCUUUGAAAUAUACCAAAGCUGAUAUCUGUGUUUUUAAUAUUCUUAAUUAUUUUUUUGAAACCGACAAAUGAUUGAGGACUGUUUGUUUCUCAUUUAAGGUACUUCCAUGAAAUCUCACACAAUGCACGCGACCCACGGACCAUUAUAUACGCAGCUAAACAGUAUCAUAAAAGUGCGCAAAAUUUUACGCCAACAUGAUAUGUUUUGGAGCUUACAGAUACAGGCACGGCUAAACUUGGUGGCACUCAUGGAUAUCUUAUGUCAUCACAGAGACGGCUACAUGGUGUUGAUCUUUCAAGUCCCGGCCUGCAUAUUUCAACAUUCAGGCUUAUGAACAGAAUUGUAUGAAACUCCAGCAAGGGAACUCCAUUCCAGUUACCGGCAUCGACAAAUAGAGAGUAUAGGAGAGAACAAUAGGAGAAUGUUCAUGUUCUGCGGUGUACCAAAAUUAAUCAAGAGAUUGAUUCCAGGCUGUCUCUGAGUAAGUUCAUGUUCUUUUUUAGUGUCAUGGUCAUUCCCUUUUUAUCAACAAGUUCUUUUUUUAGUGUUUGAUGAUGAAGAAAAACCGAUCAUCAACACAUGGGAAGGUUACAUGAAUAUAGGAGGGCUACCGGUCUUUGCAGAGAAUGUGGAGUUGUCAUGUUUAGAUUUUAAAAAUGCGUUGGAUGCCAAGGUGAAGCAUAGAAAGUUUGAUUAUGGACGGUUGUCACUUGAUUGUAAAGGAGCAGACCAAGACAUGUUUGCUCAGGAUACUUUUUUUCCAUGUACUGCAUCACAAGUUAUUGUUAAGAUUGCUGGCAUUUAAUUUUGGCACAAACAUUGCUCUGGGUUGAUAGUAUCACUGUUGGAAAUAUUUAUCGGGUGUACAUGUCAAACAAGCCAAUUUAGAUACACUUGGGUAGAAGAUCUCCGACCAGACUCAUAUUGUUGUGAAUAAAAGAAAAGAAAGGUGAGCUGGGGAGUUUGAUGAAUGAAGUUCAUGCACAAAUAGCUGAAGGUAAAACUCGGCCUAUAGCUGGAAACAAUGCUGAGGUUUUAGAUUCCCUUUUGGUUUGAAAAUUAUGAUCUAUGUGUUCAAAGUACUCAGAUUAUGUGUGUCUCUAGCUUUAUUGAUAAUUUAUCAAAAAGAGUAUAUUCUGACUUUUC